GGAGGGAGCUAGCGUUAUUCGGAAUUACUGGGCGUAAAGCGUACGUAGGCGGUUAUUCAAGUCAGAGGUGAAAGCCCGGGGCUCAACCCCGGGAACUGCCUUUGAAACUAGAUAGCUAGAAUCUUGGAGAGGUCAGUGGAAUUCCGAGUGUAGAGGUGAAAUUCGUAGAUAUUCGGAAGAACACCAGUGGCGAAGGCGACUGACUGGACAAGUAUUGACGCUGAGGUACGAAAGCGUGGGGAGCAAACAGGAUUAGACACCCUGGUAGUCCACGCCGUAAACGAUGAUAACUAGCUGUCCGGGCACUUGGUGCCUGGGUGGCGCAGCUAACGCAUUAAGUUAUCCGCCUGGGGAGUACGGUCGCAAGAUUA
rnacentral:rRNA from 1 species